rnacentral:rRNA from 1 species
UAUCUCUGUAGAGUCUGCAUAUCAAUAAGCGGAGGAAAAGCAGCGAAAGAAGCGCGCGGCGAACCGUAAAAGCUCAUGGAAGUACGCGGAAAAGAAGCGUCAGGCAAAGCGGCAGCAACAGCUUCAGGAGCAGAUUGCAACACAGGAAACAGCAUGAAUCCGGAUGGCCUGCGCUUGUGCAGGCCAUCCUUCUCAAAGACGGAAAUACUUCUCUCAGCAUUUCUGCAAAAUUCCAUUGACGAUAGGUCGGAUAACCGAUAUAAUGGUGGUAUAGGAGGCGGCGACAUGAAUCUUCGCACAUUGCUCAAUGAGCGCAAUAUGUCCAUGUACCGUCUGGCGCAGAUCAGCGGCAUCCCCAAGACCACCGUUAUUGAUAUUUGUUCCGGCAAAAGCUCCAUCGAGUGCUGCAACGCCAAAACGGUUUUUCGGCUUGCCAGGGCGCUGGAAUGCACCAUGGAAUACCUGAUGCAGCUGGAACACACCGGCUAUGACAGGACGACCGGAUUGCCCGUGAACGAAACCUAUCUUGAAAAGGGGCUUCCGCAGUACCUUGAACGCUCCCUCGCAGCCAUGAAAAAGUCCUGGCAGGUCGAGGACAGCGGCAGGCGUGAUCCUCAUUGGGAUUGCUAUUGGUGCGAGCUGAACGCCGACAUCAAUUCUGCGGAAACAGAGAGAAGCAUUUCCCGUGAACAGGCAGGAUAUCUGAGACGGAUAUACCUACGCUUAGGAUGUUGAGCGCAUGUCUCUCUCU